rnacentral:rRNA from 1 species
CAGUAGCCGCGGUAAUCCGAAGGGGGCUAGCGUUGUUCGGAUUUACUGGGCGUAAAGCGCACGUAGGCGGAUCGAUCAGUCAGGGGUGAAAUCCUGGAGCUCAACUCCAGAACUGCCCUUGAUACUGUCGAUCUCGAGUCCGGAAGAGGUGAGUGGAACUCCUAGUGUAGAGGUGGAAUCCGUAGAUAUUAGGAAGAACACCAGUGGCGAAGGUGGCUCACUGGUCCGGUACUGACGCUGAGGUGCGAAAGCGUGGGGAGCAAACAGGAUUAGAUACCCGCGUAGUCCCUGUCUCUUAUAA